rnacentral:rRNA from 1 species
GAUGAACGCUAGCGGCAGGCCUAAUACAUGCAAGUCGAACGAGAUUACGAGGCUUGCUUCUUAUGAAAGUGGCGCACGGGUGCGUAACGCGUAUGCAACCUACCUUAAUCAGGGGGAUAGCCCGAAGAAAUUCGGAUUAAGACCGCAUAAAAACACAGGAUAGCAUUAUCCAAUGUUCAAAUAUUUAUAGGAUUAAGAUGGGCAUGCGUGUCAUUAGCUAGUUGGCGGGGUAACGGCCCACCAAGGCGACGAUGACUAGGGGAUCUGAGAGGAUGACCCCCCACACUGGUACUGAGACACGGACCAGACUCCUACGGGAGGCAGCAGUAAGGAAUAUUGGGCAAUGGAGGGAACUCUGAACCAGCCAGGCCGCGUGCAGGAAGACAGCCCUCUGGGUCGUAAACUGCUUUUAUUCGGGAAUAAACCUUUCUACGUGUAGGAAGCGGAAUGUACCGAAGGAAUAAGGAUCGGCGAACUCCGU